UACGGAGGGGGCUAGCGUUGUUCGGAAUUACUGGGCGUAAAGCGCACGUAGGCGGCUUUGUAAGUUAGAGGUGAAAGCCCAGGGCUCAACCCUGGAAUUGCCUUUAAGACUGCAUCGCUUGAACAUCGGAGAGGUAAGUGGAAUUCCGAGUGUAGAGGUGAAAUUCGUAGGUAUUCGGAAGAACACCAGUGGCGAAGGCGACUUACUGGACGAUUGUUGACGCUGAGGUGCGAAAGCGUGGGGAGCAAACAGG
rnacentral:rRNA from 1 species